AUACGGAGGGUGCAAGCGUUAUUCGGAAGCACUGGGCGUAAAGGACGCGUAGGCGGGUUGGCAAGUCAGAUGUGAAAUCCUACAGCUUAACUGUAGAACUGCAUUUGAAACUGCUAACCUAGAGUAUGGGAGGGGGAGAUGGAAUUAGUGGUGUAGGGGUAAAAUCCGUAGAUAUCACUAGGAAUACCGAAAGCGAAGGCGAUCUCCUGGAACAUAACUGACGCUAAGGCGUGAAAGCGUGGGGAGCAAACAGGAUUAGAUACCCUAGUAGUCC
rnacentral:rRNA from 1 species